rnacentral:rRNA from 1 species
UUCGCAAUGCCCGAAAGGGUGACGAAGCGACGCCGCGUGUGGGAAGAAGGCCUUCGGGUUGUAAACCACUGUCGGGAGUUAAGAAAUGCAAGGAUAUGAAUAGUGUCUUUGCUUGACUAAGGCUCCGGAGGAAGCCACGGCUAACUCUGUGCCAGCAGCCGCGGUAAUACAGAGGCGGCAAGCGUUGUUCGGAAUUAUUGGGCGUAAAGAGCACGUAGGCGGCUAUGUAAGUCGGUUGUGAAAGCCUUCCGCUCAACGGGAGAACAGCAUCCGAUACUGCAUGGCUUGAGUGCGGGAGGGGAGAGUGGAACUUCUGGUGGAGCGGUGAAGUGCGUAGAUAUCAGAAGGAACGCCGGCGGCGAAAGCGGCUCUCUGGCCCAUAACUGACGCUGAGUGUGCGAAAGCUAGGGGAGCAAACGGGAUUAGAUACCCCGGUAGUCCUAGCCGUAAACGAUGGGCACUAAGUAGAGGGGUUUUA